AAACUGUCUCCUGGUUAAGAACACUCAAGUUGGGUCUGGUUAUUCUGGACACAACAUUUGGAGGCCCCAGCGAGAUCUUCUCGUUGUGGGAAAAUUGAUCAGUGCACCAGGGCGUUGGACCAUUUGCGGUUGGGGAGGCCUCUAGGGCACUUGCCCUAGGCGCCGCCUGUGGUUUCUCGCUUUGCGGAGCACGAUCCUGGGAGUGCUGAGGCAGUUUCUGGUAGGGGGCCCAGGGACCGUGCGGACGUCGGACGCGACAAGUAAGUCGGCGGUCGACUGAGACUGUGACGACAGUUUUCUCAGUCCUGUUCUGGUUUGUUAGUCUGUGUCUGUCUUGUUUUGUUUUGCUUCGUGUGCUUUAUUGUGGAACUAUGGGACAAUCACAGGGCAAACUAACUCCGUUACAGUGCAUGCUUAACAACUUUAAAGAUUUUCGUCGUAGGGCAAGGGCCUAUGGUGCUUCAGUAACCCCUUUUGAUUUGCAGCGCUUUUGUCAAUUAGAUUGGCCGACCUUCGGAGUAGGAUGGCCCUCCGAGGGAUCAUUUAACAUGCAAACUGCAUUCCGGGUUCGAGCUCUUACAGGUCUUAUUCACUACUGAAGAAAAAGAAAGAAUUUUGCGGGAGGCGGCUAGAGGAGUAACAGACCCAAAUGGGCAGCCCACAGCAGACUUAACCAGGUUACAGGCUGUGUUUCCGACUCAACGUCCCCAGUGGGAUCCAAAUACAGAUCAAGGUAAGGAGGCUCUCCUAAGGUAUCGCCAGUUUCUGCUACAGGGACUCCGGGCUGCUGCACGUAGACCAAUAAAUCUGUCCAAGGUAAGUGAAGUAAUUCAGACUAAGGACGAGUCAC